GAAAGAGAUCUUAUUUUCUGAAACGGUAAAAUCUUUGGUUCUUUUCAAAUUAGAAUUCCAUGAAAUCUGCUUGCUUUGAUAAACGUGUUUCACAAACAUGUGUUUGCAGUAGAGCCUUCUUCCUCAAUAUUUCCAUAAAUCUCAGUUUAUGAAAGAUGAAGACCCAUCUCAACCCAGCAGGAAACACUAGACAAACUCCAAUCUCACCAGGGUCAAGGGUGCUUUAGCAAUGUUCACACAUGCUUUUUGGAAUAGAUUCCAGUCUCUUUAUUGAGAAGAUAUUUUAACUCUAUAUGACACUGACAUGGUCAGACUAGGACAUGAUGGUCAACUGGUCCCUAUGGUCAUUUCUGCCACUAGUUUACACACUUAAUGAUUGAUCCAGUUAGCUGCUAUUCAGUCAGUUAGGGGUGUUAGAGGUUCAAGUUCAAAGCAAUGAAUCAAACAUUGCUGGGGAUUUGUUUAACUCUAUGGAAACACUGAUGAGAAUUAUCCCUGGACUUCAGGGAUCGUGCCCAUUGAGCUCAGUUCACAUGGUAGUCAGAUGAAUCUUUUGGAUGGCGUUGGCUUGAUUUCUGAAGAAUUACAUUCAUGUAAUACAUGUCUAGCAAUAAUUUCAGCUUGAGGAACUCUAUAUGCCAUAAAGUUAAUUUCUUAACUUCCACUGACAUUCUUAAAAAUUAGAGUUGGGCAAGUAUAAGCUAAUGACUUCAGUAGACAUUGAAAAACAAUAAAACAAAUUAAAAAGAAUAAAUAAGAGAAAAUAUGAACGAUCUCAUUGGCAAAACAACUGACCUGGGAAAUAAAUCUAGGAGAGAUUAUCAAAGAAUUAUUGGACUACCUAAAAGCCAUGAUGAAGAAAAGAUCCUAGACAUCAUCUUUCAAGAAAUUAUUGAGGAAAACUGCCCUGAAAACUUAUAUCCAUAAAGCAAAGUAAAAAUUGCAAGAAACCACCAAUUAGUUCCUGAAAGAGAUCCCAAAAUGAAAAUUCUCAGGAACAUUAUAACCAAAUUACAGAGCUUCCAGGAAACCCUUCAAAGCCUUCUCAGGCUCAUUGCCUACACCUGUCCACUAGGAGAGCCGGGUAGCCGGGUCUCUCCCUCACAGAGGCUGUACCUGCUAACUCCUCCUGCUGUUACUGAUGCUUGCUGAUGCUGUUUCUGUUGCUGCUACUGGUAAGCUUUAAAAUCCCUGCCCCAAAUCCCAGACCAACGGGGGGCGGGGGGAUCCCUUUUCCCUUUUCAGUGGGGGGUACUGGUUUCUCCUAAUUAAGGCCUUUUCUAAAAUUCCCCAUCCAGCUUCCUGCACUCCCUCUUAGGGAAAAAAUGCUUCCUAUUCCAGAUAAGAGGAGUCCUCACCCCUAAAACCAGCCCAUAAUCCUUGACUCCAACAUCAUCACUCCUGCCACUAGAGGCUAGGAUUGAGCACUUAGUUUUGCCUUUUUAGUGAACUGAUAAUAACGAAUGUUAUUCUAU
rnacentral:lncRNA from 1 species